GAUCCUGGCUUAGGAUGAACGCUGGCGGCGUGCCUAACACAUGCAAGUCGAACGAAGCACUGGAAACGGAGAUUCGUCGAAGUUUCUUGACUUAGUGGCGGACGGGUGAGUAAUGUAUGAGCAACCUGCCUUUCAGAGGGGGACAACAGUUGGAAACGACUGCUAAUACCGCAUAAUGUAUAAGAGUGGCAUCGCUUUUAUACCAAAGGAGCAAUCCGCUGAAAGAUGGGCUCAUAUCUGAUUAGCUAGUUGGCGGGGUAACGGCCCACCAAGGCGACGAUCAGUAGCCGGACUGAGAGGUUGAACGGCCACAUUGGGACUGAGAUACGGCCCAGACUCCUACGGGAGGCAGCAGUGGGGAAUAUUGGGCAAUGGGCGAAAGCCUGAACCCCAGCAACGCCGCGUGAAGGAAGAAGGUCUUCGGAUUGUAAACUUCUUUUAUGAGGGACGAAGGACGUGACGGUACCUCAUGAAUAAGCCACGGCUAACUACGUGCCAGCAGCAGC
rnacentral:rRNA from 1 species